AAGAUCAUACUUCACAGGAUCAUUUCUGUAGUAGGUCUUACCAUGCUCUCUACUCAAAUGUACAGUUGUCGCAACCACGAUGAUGAGACGUAGUCUCGUGUCCUGAGCGUGAGGCAGAUUUUUCGCGAUUGCUUUUGCUUUCGCAGAAGUCAUCGAUGAUCGUUCACUCGCGAUUUCCGCGGGCAAUGGAUACGAGGCAGUCUGAGUGGU